rnacentral:tRNA from 1 species
UCCACAGUAGCUCAGUGGUAGAGCUAUCGGCUGUURACCGAUCGGUCGUAGGUUCGAGUCCUACCUGUGGAGCCA